UAGGGAAUCUUCCACAAUGGGCGAAAGCCUGAUGGAGCAACGCCGCGUGUGUGAUGAAGGGUUUCGGCUCGUAAAACACUGUUGUAAGAGAAGAAUGACAUUGAGAGUAACUGUUCAAUGUGUGACGGUAUCUUACCAGAAAGGNGCGGCUAAAUACGUACCAG
rnacentral:rRNA from 1 species